CUCCCCACCCCGAGCACGCUAGGCCCCUCUGCCUGAAGCUGGAGACAGGACCCAGAAAUGUCACACUUCAGACAGAGGCACCAAUACUACAUGGAGCUUCUGAGCCCUAACCAUGGCUGGUGACUCUUCCAGGACCUGAAAAGUGACAUCGUCAGAGGUCCCAUUCUGAGAUGUCCCAUUGGACAGAUAUGAAAAUUGAGCCUCAGAGGGAUGAAGCAAUCCACCCAAGGUCAGGGAGCUUCGAUGAGAACCCGAGUUGCUCUGAUCCAAGGCCCAUGUUCUUAAUCCCUCACCCUAUCACCACUUCCUUAUCUUGAACCUGGGGACAGCUGGUGCAGGGCAAGAGCAGGACCUUUUGAGCCACACAGACCCGGCUUCAGAUCCCAGCCUCGCUGAUGCCUCCCUGUGGCCUUGCAACCAUAUUGUGAGGAAGCCCAAGCCACAUGGGGAGACCACUACUGGUGCUCUGGCUAACAGCCCCAGUUAAGGUCUUGGCCAAUGGCCAGCUUCAACCACUGGACUUAGGCAUGAAUGACUCUUCAAAUGAUUCCAGCUCCAGACUGCAAUCCCAGGUAAUGCCAAGUGGAGC